UACGAAGGGGGCUAGCGUUGCUCGGAAUCACUGGGCGUAAAGGGUGUGUAGGCGGGUCUUUAAGUCAGGGGUGAAAUCCUGGAGCUCAACUCCAGAACUGCCUUUGAUACUGAGGAUCUUGAGUACGGGAGAGGUGAGUGGAACUGCGAGUGUAGAGGUGAAAUUCGUAGAUAUUCGCAAGAACACCAGUGGCGAAGGCGGCUCACUGGCCCGUAACUGACGCUGAGGCACGAAAGCGUGGGGAGCAAACAGG
rnacentral:rRNA from 1 species